GCCCAAGUGGCGGAAUGGUAGACGCAGGGGAUUCAAAAUCCCCCGCCGCGAGGCGUGCCGGUUCGAGUCCGGCCUUGGGUACCA
rnacentral:tRNA from 64 species